CGAAUUUUCCUGUCUCUGCAUCCCAUCAGUCCAGAUCCAAAAUAAACACAAGGCAUGGCUUCUAGUCUCAAAAUCUUAUAAAUCGACUAUGCAGUUGUCAGCCUUCUGUGCAGAGCCAAGCAGAGGAAACAUGGGUGUGAGGAGCUCAAGAAGGAAGCUUCGUCUGUGUGGAAGCUGUUGCUGAGGCCAGGGAUUGUCCCACUAUGUAACUCUGGAUGAUGUUGGACUUGCCAUGCUCCUGCCUCAGCCUCCUAAGUAC